GAUGAACGCUAGCUACAGGCUUAACACAUGCAAGUCGCGGGCAGCAUUUCCUUAGCUUGCUAAGGAAGAUGGCGACCGGCGCACGGGUGAGUAACGCGUAUCCAACCUUCCCAUGUCCACGGGAUAGCCCGUCGAAAGGCGGAUUAAUACCGUAUGAGGUCACAUGCGGGCAUCUAAGUGUGACGAAAGGUUUUGCGGACAUGGAUGGGGAUGCGUCCGAUUAGCUGGUUGGCGGGGUAACGGCCCACCAAGGCGACGAUCGGUAGGGGUUCUGAGAGGAAGGUCCCCCCANAUUGGAACUGAGACACGGUCCAAACUCCUACGGGAGGCAGCAGUGAGGAAUAUUGGUCAAUGGACGUAAGUCUGAACCAGCCAAGUAGCGUGCAGGAUGACGGCCCUAUGGGUUGUAAACUGCUUUUAUAGGGGGAUAAAGUGUGCCACGUGUGGCAUAUUGCAGGUACCCUAUGAAUAAGGACCGGCUAAUUCCGUG
rnacentral:rRNA from 1 species